rnacentral:rRNA from 1 species
UUGAUCCUGGCUCAGAAUCCACGCUGGUNGGCGUGCCUAACACAUGCAAGUCGAACGAGAACGGUGCUUUUGGGCACUAAGUAGAGUGGCGAACGGGUGAGUAACGCGUGGAUGAUCUGCCUGGUAGAGGGGGAUAACCCGGGGAAACCCGGGCUAAUACCGCAUAAUCCCGAAAGGGGAAAGGUUUCGAUCGCUAUUAGAGUGAGUCCGCGUCCGAUUAGCUGGUAGCGUGAGGUAACGGCUUACCUAGGCGACGAUCGGUAGGCCGGUCUUGAGAGGACCGGGACGGCCACACU